UUAGAUAUUAGAGAAAAUAACUGAAAAUAGAUAGGAAUAUCUUUUUCUUCGCUUAAGCGGUAUUUAUUUAUUAUGUUUAAAAACGAACGUUCGGGUACGGGCCCGGAUAAUCGCGCCAACUGAUUUGGUUGAUCUGUGAUACCACUGUGCAAAUUGACAGCAUAGCACCAUUGUUGUUUAUAAAAUCGUUUGCUGUGUAAACAUUGCAAAUUAUCAAAUUCAGAAGCGCUUUAUACGUUAUAAACUAAGUUAUAUAAUGCCCUAUUUGAUUGCAUCUGGUAAAAUAUUCCUCGUUUACUUGCAGAUAAUUACGUACUCCCAAAUUAAACAUCCGAUCGUCAAUUUAUUAUAAAAGUUGAGGUUGAUCAUCUAAAUCAAGUUUGUUCAGAACUGAAGCGGUUGAACCAAUCCCGAAAAUGACUGUAUCAAUGUAUCAAUGUAAUCACAAUUCGUGAUACCUUCAUUCAACUUUAUGGUGACAAAUAGUCAUUCCUCUUAAUAAUCGCAUAAAAACGCUUGCGGCUACAACAUUUUCUACAACAAACCUUACACGCCACACAAAGAUGUAGGUGUGAAUAUACAUUGCUGUGUGACAAGUGGUUUUUCUUUUAACUUGGACGAUUGUAUUGGUAUAGCAAAACUCUUUUCAAAAAAACAUGGAAACAGGCCGAACACGAAAAUAUUUAUACAUGGUCCAUAAUGCAAACUGGAUGGGUGGAUACUUACGAAUCAAAUUAGUCAUAAAGGCUAUAUAUAACAAAUAGCGCUAUAUGAAUAUGUCACAGUUUUUCUUAUCUUGGCUCACAGCAGCUGAUUAUAAAGAUUCGUCAUCCUUA